rnacentral:rRNA from 1 species
CCUACGGGGGGCAGCAGUGAGGAAUAUUGGUCAAUGGACGAGAGUCUGAACCAGCCAAGUAGCGUGAAGGAUGACUGCCCUAUGGGUUGUAAACUUCUUUUAUAUGGGAAUAAAACGUUCCACGUGUGGGAUUUUGUAUGUACCAUAUGAAUAAGGAUCGGCUAACUCCGUGCCAGCAGCCGCGGUAAUACGGAGGAUCCGAGCGUUAUCCGGAAUUAUUGGGUUUAAAGGGAGCGUAGGUGGAUUGUUAAGUCAGUUGUGAAAGUUUGCGGCUCAACCGUAAAAUUGCAGUUGAAACUGGCAGUCUUGAGUACAGUAGAGGUAGGCGGAAUUCGUGGUGUAGCGGUGAAAUGCUUAGAUAUCACGAAGAACUCCGAUUGCGAAGGCAGUUCACUGGACUGCAACUGACACUGAGGCUCGAAAGUGUGGGUAUCAAACAGGAUUAGAUACCCUUGUAGUC